UUCAAAACUGCGAUGAGAAGAAGUAGAAAUCAUAAGUUUUCAACAGAAAGCUACCGGUUGAUGAGAGGGGUAGAAAACAGAUUUUGAAAUACAUCUCUGAGUGGUACACUGAAAAGAUUUAUAUCUUAGUAGGUUGUUGCCGGGUGCGACCGUUACAUCGCUAGGGUAUAAGCCUUUUGUGCCGUACCCGAUGAGGUUUAUACAGUGAUGUAUAAAUAAAUUUUGAGGUGGUAACACGUGAGUAAAACUCCCGUCCUUUGC
rnacentral:ncRNA from 1 species